UAAUACAUGCAAGUCGAGCGGUCUCUUUCGGGGGACAGCGUCGGACGGGUUAUUAACGCGUGGGAACGUGCCCUUUAGUACGGAAUAGCCAUUGGAAACGAUGAUUAAUAACGUAUACGCCCCAGGGGGAAAGAUUUAUCGCUAAAGGAUCGGCCCGCGUUAGAUUAGGUUGUUGGUGGGGUAAUGGCCUACCAAGCCUACGAUCUAUAGCUGGUUUGAGAGGAUGAUCAGCAACACUGGGACUGAGACACGGCCCAGACUUCUACGGAAGGCAGCAGUAGGGAAUCUUGGACAAUGGGCGA
rnacentral:rRNA from 1 species